AUUUGACCUCGGAUCAGGUAGGGAUACCCGCUGAACUUAAGCAUAUCAAUAAGCGGAGGAAAAGAAACCAACAGGGAUUGCCCUAGUAACGGCGAGUGAAGCGGCAACAGCUCAAAUUUGAAAUCUGGCUCUUUCAGGGUCCGAGUUGUAAUUUGCAGAGGGUGCUUUGGCAAAGGUUGUGGUCUAAGUUCCUUGGAACAGGACGUCACAGAGGGUGAGAAUCCCGUACGUGGCCGCCAACCCGCGCUAUGUAAAGCCCCUUCGACGAGUCGAGUUGUUUGGGAAUGCAGCUCUAAAUGGGAGGUAAAUUUCUUCUAAAGCUAAAUAUUGGCCAGAGACCGAUAGCGCACAAGUAGAGUGAUCGAAAGAUGAAAAGCACUUUGGAAAGAGAGUCAAAAAGCACGUGAAAUUGUUGAAAGGGAAGCGCUUGCAGCCAGACUUGCCUGUAGUUGCUCAUCCGGGCUCUUGCCUGGUGCACUCUUCUAUAGGCAGGCCAGCAUCAGUCUUGGCGGUCGGAUAAAUGCGUGCUAAACGUACCUCUCUUCGGGGAGGACUUAUAGGGCACGCGGCAUACGACCAGCCGGGACUGAGGUCCGCGCAUCUGCUAGGAUGCUGGCGUAAUGGCUGUAAGCGGCCCGUCUUGAAACACGGACCAAGGAGUCUAACAUCUAUGCGAGUGUUUGGGUGUCAAGCCCGAGCGCGUAAUGAAAGUGAACGGAGGUGGGAACCCCUCGGGGUGCACCAUCGACCGAUCCUGAUGUCUUCGGAUGGAUUUGAGUAAGAGCAUAGCUGUUGGGACCCGAAAGAUGGUGAACUAUGCCUGAAUAGGGUGAAGCCAGAGGAAACUCUGGUGGAGGCUCGCAGCGGUUCUGACGUGCAAAUCGAUCGUCAAAUUUGGGCAUAGGGGCGAAAGACUAAUCGAACUAUCUAGUAGCUGGUUCCUGCCGAAGUUUCCCUCAGGAUAGCAGUAACGUUUUCAGUUUUAUGAGGUAAAGCGAAUGAUUAGAGGCCUGGGGGUUGAAACAACCUUCACCUAUUCUCAAACUUUAAAUAUGUAAGAAGUCCUUGUUACUUAAUUGAACGUGGACAUUUGAAUGUAUCGUUACUAGUGGGCCAUUUUUGGUAAGCAGAACUGGCGAUGCGGGAUGAACCGAACGCGGGGUUAAGGUGCCAGAAUGCACGCUCAUCAGACACCACAAAAGGUGUUAGUUCAUCUAGACAGCAGGACGGUGGCCAUGGAAGUCGGAAUCCGCUAAGGAGUGUGUAACAACUCACCUGCCGAAUGA
rnacentral:rRNA from 1 species